rnacentral:tRNA from 1 species
AGCUCAGCUGGUUAGAGCAGACGGCUCAUAACCGUCCGGUCGUAGGUUCGAGUCCUACA